rnacentral:rRNA from 1 species
GACGAAGGGGGCUAGCGUUGUUCGGAAUUACUGGGCGUAAAGGGCGUGUAGGCGGUCAAGUAAGUGGAAUGUGAAAGCCCCCGGCUUACCCGGGGAUCUGCAUCCCAAACUGCUUGGCUUGAGUACGGGAGAGGAUAGGGGAAUUCCUGGUGUAGCGGUGAAAUGCGUAGAUAUCAGGAGGAACACCGGUGGCGAAGGCGCCUAUCUGGCCCGAUACUGACGCUGAGGCGCGAAAGCUAGGGGAGCAAACGGG